AUGAACAUUGCCCUCCUAACGAGAUGGUUGUGGCGGAUUGCCAACGGACAGGGUGCCCUGUGGCUUCACCUCAUUCAGCAGAAAUACCUCCGUGGCCAGCCUCUCACCUUCUGCCAGUGGUCUGGAGGUUCCUAUUUCUGGCAAUCCAUCAUACAGCUCCUACCGAUCCUCCGCAUCGGCACCUUGAUCGCGGUUGGAUCGGGCACCUCCACGAUGUUCUGGUUCCAUAGAUGGGCUGGAGACUUACCCCUCGCGGCACGUUUUCCCUACCUAUUCUCCAUCGCGGUUGACCCGCGGAUCUCUGUCGCGACGACCCUUAUUGACUUAGGGCAACUCGCGUUCCGGAGAGCAUUUGGCCUGCCUGAGAACGCGGACUGGCAUGAGCUGCUGGAAUGCAUCGGGCUGCACGAGCCUGAUCUUGAGGUAGGAGAAGACCGUGCCAGGUGGCGUCUAGAGCCAUCUGAGCAAUUCUCCACUAAAUCUCUAUACCAGGCCAUCACACCUUCGCUGGGUCAUGAGGUAGUCACCACCAUCUGGGAUAUACAGCUCCCCUUGAAGAUUAGGAUUUUCUUGUGA
rnacentral:rRNA from 1 species